GGAAGUAGCUUGCUACUAGACGACGAACGGCGCACGGGUGAGUAACGCGUAUGUAAUCUGCCUUGUACAGAGGGAUAGCCCAGAGAAAUUUGGAUUAAUACCUCAUAGUAUUACUGGAUCGCAUGAUUUGGUAAUUAAAGCUCCGGCGGUACAAGAUGAACAUGCGUGACAUUAGCUAGUUGGUAAGGUAACGGCUUACCAAGGCUACGAUGUCUAGGGGUUCUGAGAGGAUGAUCCCCCACACUGGUACUGAGACACGGACCAGACUCCUACGGGAGGCAGCAGUGAGGAAUAUUGGUCAAUGGACGCAAGUCUGAACCAGCCAUCCCGCGUGAAGGAUGACUGCCCUAUGGGUUGUAAACUUCUUUUAUAUGCAAAUAAACCUACUUUCGUGAAAGUAGCUGAAGGUAGCAUAUGAAUAAACACCGGCUAACUCCGUGCCAGCAGCCGCGGUAAUACGGAGGGUGUAAGCCGUUAUCCGG
rnacentral:rRNA from 1 species